CAGGGAUUGCCCUAGUAACGGCGAGUGAAGCGGCAACAGCUCAAAUUUGAAAUCUGGCUCUUUCAGAGUCCGAGUUGUAAUUUGCAGAGGGCGCUUUGGCUUUGGCAGCGGUCCAAGUUCCUUGGAACAGGACGUCACAGAGGGUGAGAAUCCCGUACGUGGUCGCUAGCUAUUGCCGUGUAAAGCCCCUUCGACGAGUCGAGUUGUUUGGGAAUGCAGCUCUAAAUGGGAGGUAAAUUUCUUCUAAAGCUAAAUAUUGGCCAGAGACCGAUAGCGCACAAGUAGAGUGAUCGAAAGAUGAAAAGCACUUUGGAAAGAGAGUCAAACAGCACGUGAAAUUGUUGAAAGGGAAGCGCUUGCAGCCAGACUUGCUUGCAGUUGCUCAUCCGGGCUUUUGCCCGGUGCACUCUUCUGCAGGCAGGCCAGCAUCAGUUUGGGCGGUGGGAUAAAGGUCUCUGACACGUUCCUUCCUUCGGGUUGGCCAUAUAGGGGAGACGUCAUACCACCAGCCUGGACUGAGGUCCGCGCAUCUGCUAGGAUGCUGGCGUAAUGGCUGUAAGCGGCCCGUCUUGAAACACGGACCAAGGAGUCUAACAUCUAUGCGAGUGUUUGGGUGUCAAGCCCGAGCGCGUAAUGAAAGUGAACGGAGGUGGGAACCCGCAAGGGCGCACCAUCGACCGAUCCUGAAGUUUACGGAAGGAUUUGAGUAAGAGCAUGGCUGUUGGGACCCGAAAGAUGGUGAACUAUGCUUGAAUAGGGUGAAGCCAGAGGAAACUCUGGUGGAGGCUCGCAGCGGUUCUGACGUGCAAAUCGAUCGUCAAAUUUGGGCAUAGGGGCGAAAGACU
rnacentral:rRNA from 1 species